AAUGCUUCUGUUGUUUUUCUUCUUGUAGUGCAUCGGCGACGUGCACUGCGCUUAGUAUUUAUAUUGCUUGAUGGUGCUAGUGGGUUUUGCUUUUUUGUGCUAGCUGUGGUUCUGCUGUUUCUAACCAUGGAAAUGCAAUGCUUAUGAGCGGAUUCUGGGGUGCGUGUUUGCUGAGACUUCGGUUUGCAUGCAAAUGCAAUAGGCAUGACAGUUUUAUGGAGUUUGUUAGGCCCUAACCGGGCGCAUGAACAUGACUUGAGAUUGAGAGGCCUGAAUGCUAAACUUAAUUAGGUGUUGGGUCUUUACAUGCUUGAUGCUUUAUAACCAUAUCAUUUUCUGAAACAAUUCAAUGGAAAAGACAUAUCUUCUUCUUGGCAAUGUUUCUUUAGCAGGAGACUCUGGUCACAUGGGCUUGAUCUGUAAACAAGCUGAUAUUUCAUCUUCAUUAAUGAUUUUUUUUUUUGAAAUCUUGUUCGGUAUACAUAGUUUUUUACUGAUCAUGACAGAAAAGAUUGUGUUUGGCAAUACUUGUUUUCUUCAAUAUUUCUGACACCACCUCUCCUGGGGAAGCAUAAUGCAGCAGCUGUGCAUCGUCUCCACUGCUUUGCAAACUACCGUAUCAAGGUUUCUAAGGUGGACAUUGACCCCCUCUACUUUUCAUCAGUAUGGCACCUGGUGAUGGCAGGACAUGAAGAGGACCUAGUUUGGAUUAGAAGGCAGGGAAAAGGAGAGGAAAUUGAAGGAAAGAGAGAGGGUCACUUUCAAAUAUAUGCCAAGUCAGCUUCUUACCUCUCCCUGAUGCCCUACAUAGCACUUCCCAUCCCCUUGUUCUUUCCCACAGGUCUCUCUCCUGCUGCUGCUGGUGCCUCACCACAGCCAAUAAAGCCUAAAGUGGUCGCUGGCCGGGAGCUUCAUGAGCGUUGGUCAAAAGCUCCGUCAACAAAGGUCCGGAAGUCUGUUCAUGCUGCAUGAAGCCAGACCAGCAGCGGCGAGCAAGGAUGAGCAUCGAUACCACAGAUAUUCGAAUGUGCUACUAGCGAUUACAGGAAAGCACACAGAUGCCUUCACGAAUCCAUGCUCCGGAGCGGAUGUAAGCUAAAAGUCAUUACUCCCUCCAAUCCAUAAUAAGUAUCGCUAAUUCAGUACAACUCUAGUACAAAGCUGUACUAAAUAAACGUCACUUAUUAUGGAUAGGAGGGAGUACAAGAUUUGAUGAAAACACAAGCAAUAUUGUCUCUGAAUCAAGGUGAUAUGACCAACAGGUGCCGCAGCAUCAGCUUCGGCUUCUGAAUCUUCAAUUUGUAAAACAAACGUAGCUUUGGGUGUGUGUGUUUUUUUCAGCUGGCCUGGGUAUGUUUGGUUUGUUGUCAAUGUACCAUUUCAUUUUCGUCAUGACCAAAACUCUCAGAGAGAUAAAAUCGCCCUGAAUUUUUGACUACCUGAACUUUUGGUAGGACAAGAUUUUGGGUUAAAACGAAACGCCCCAUUUAUGUU